UACGGGGGGAGCAAGCGUUGUUCGGAUUUACUGGGCGUAAAGGGCGCGUAGGCGGCCAGUGCAAGUCAGUUGUGAAAUCUCCGAGCUUAACUCGGAAAGGUCAACUGAUACUGCUCGGCUAGAGUGCGGAAGGGGCAACUAGAAUUCUUGGUGUAGCGGUGAAAUGCGUAGAUAUCAAGAGGAACACCUGCGGCGAAGGCGGCUCACUGGUCCGGUACUGACGCUGAGGUGCGAAAGCGUGGGGAGCAAACAGG
rnacentral:rRNA from 1 species